rnacentral:rRNA from 1 species
AACGUAGGACGCGAGCGUUAUCCGGAGUACUGGCGUAAGCGCGGGCAGGCGGUUGUCUAAGUGGGAUGUGAAAGCGCCCGGCUAAACCGGGCGAGGCCAUUCCAAACUAGACGACUGGAGGGCAGUAGAGGUAGGUAGAAUUCCAGGUGUAGCGGUGAAAUGCGUAGAUAUCUGGAGGAACACCGGUGGCGAAGGCGGCAUCCUGGACCAACACUGACGCUGAGGAGCGAAAGCCAGGGGAGCAAACGGG